rnacentral:rRNA from 1 species
UUUAACUGAAGAGUUUGAUCAUGGCUCAGAUUGAACGCUGGCGGCAGGCUUAACACAUGCAAGUCGAGCGGGGGAAGGUAGCUUGCUACUGGACCUAGCGGCGGACGGGUGAGUAAUGCUUAGGAAUCUGCCUAUUAGUGGGGGACAACAUCUCGAAAGGGAUGCUAAUACCGCAUACGUCCUACGGGAGAAAGCAGGGGAUCUUCGGACCUUGCGCUAAUAGAUGAGCCUAAGUCGGAUUAGCUAGUUGGUGGGGUAAAGGCCUACCAAGGCGACGAUCUGUAGCGGGUCUGAGAGGAUGAUCCGCCACACUGGGACUGAGACACGGCCCAGACUCCUACGGGAGGCAGCAGUGGGGAAUAUUGGACAAUGGGGGGAACCCUGAUCCAGCCAUGCCGCGUGUGUGAAGAAGGCCUUAUGGUUGUAAAGCACUUUAAGCGAGGAGGAGGCUACUUUAGUUAAUACCUAGAGAUAGUGGACGUUACUCGCAGAAUAAGCACCGGCUAACUCUGUGCCAGCAGCCGCGGUAAUACAGAGGGUGCGAGCGUUAAUCGGAUUUACUGGGCGUAAAGCGUGCGUAGGCGGCUUAUUAAGUCGGAUGUGAAAUCCCCGAGCUUAACUUGGGAAUUGCAUUCGAUACUGGUGAGCUAGAGUAUGGGAGAGGAUGGUAGAAUUCCAGGU